GAAACUACCUACUCAUAUAUCAAGCAGUCAAACAAACUUCCAUGUGCAUUUACAAUAUAAUACGACUACUUAACAAGCUGAAAAGUUCUACUACUUAAUGGCUAAAGCACAGUAAACCAUUCAAGGGUUAAAAAGUUCAACAACUAGAAUUGUAUAAAUAGUUCAACACCUAAAAGGUCUGUUAUUCACAUGGAAAUACUUUGCAUCUACAACUAUUACAAUCCAGCAAUCUUGAAUCUCAUCUCUACUGCCAACUUUUCUCUCUACUAUCUUUCUCUCAGGAUGUGGACUUCAAAUCAUUAGCACCUAGCUAUGACAGGUCAGGAAUCCUACCACCAGCCGCCAAGAUUUGCUUCUCCAGCAUCAUCAAGGUUUCAAGUUUGUUCUUCACAAGAAAAUAUUCAUGUUUCACCUGCUGCAGACAUUGCACACACCCUUCAAUGUUCUUCCCUUCGCAGAAGGUUUUAAAAGCCACACAAGCAUUCUUUACUCUUUGUGCACCUAUGCUGGAACUGCUACCCUUGAACUGGUGGACAUGGGAAUCAACUUGCUUAAAAUCUACAACCUGUUGUUGAAGAGCUGCUGUCAGAUUGUUGAUAAGGUUUUCUGAAUCUACAAAGAAAAGUGAAACUACUUCACGAACAAAGUCUGGGUUGCUCUCAUCUUGCAAAUUCUGAAGCUGAAGAAACUGAUCAUCCAAGAAUCUCUCACGGUACAAAGCUGAAAUGAAGUCCAUGAACUGUUUCUGCAACUUGGCUACUAUUUCCAUGAAUUUGAUGUGGGGGAGAAGACUCA
rnacentral:misc_RNA from 1 species